rnacentral:rRNA from 1 species
CUGCUAUCGGGGUCCGACUAAGCCAUGCGAGUCAAGGGACUCUUUUGAGUACCGGCGAACGGCUCAGUAACACGUGGCUAACCUACCCUCGGGUGGGGGAUAACCUCGGGAAACUGAGGCUAAUACCCCAUAGGGGAAGAGGUCUGGAACGAUCCUUCCUCGAAAGCAUUAGCGCCCGAGGAUGGGGCUGCGGCGGAUUAGGUAGUUGGUGGGGUAACGGCCCACCAAGCCUACGAUCCGUACGGGCCCUGAGAGGGGGAGCCCGGAGAUGGACACUGAGACACGGGUCCGGGCCCUACGGGGCGCAGCAGGCGCGAAACCUCCGCAAUGUGCGAAAGCGCGACGGGGGGACCCCGAGUGCUCAUGCUCUGCAUGAGCUUUUCCGGAGUGUAAACAGCUUCGGGAAUAAGGGCUGGGCAAGUCCGGUGCCAGCAGCCGCGGUAAUACCGGCGGCCCAAGUGGUGGCCACUUUUAUUGGGCCUAAAGCGUCCGUAGCCGGCUCGGUAAGUCUCUGCUUAAAUCCUGCGGCUUAACCGCAGGGCUGGCAGAGAUACUGCCGAGCUUGGGACCGGGAGAGGGCGAGGGUACUCCAGGGGUAGCGGUGAAAUGCGUUGAUCCCUGGAGGACCACCUAUGGCGAAGGCACUCGCCUGGAACGGGUCCGACGGUGAGGGACGAAGGCCAGGGGAGCAAACCGGAUUAGAUACCCGGGUAGUCCUGGCUGUAAACUCUGCGGACUAG